rnacentral:rRNA from 1 species
GCAAGUCGAGCGAGAAAGCACUUCGGUGCGAGUACAGCGGCGGACGGGUGAGUAACGCGUGGGAAUAUACCCUUCUCUAAGGAAUAGCCUCUGGAAACGGAGAGUAAUACCUUAUACGCCCUUUGGGGGAAAGAUUUAUCGGAGAAGGAUUAGCCCGCGUUAGAUUAGAUAGUUGGUGGGGUAAUGGCCUACCAAGUCUACGAUCUAUAGCUGGUUUGAGAGGAUGAUC